UUAACCCUUUCUCUACCGUAUCGGUCAAUAUGACCGAUAGCGCGUAAAAACAGGGCUACUCAAAAGGAGUGUCUAUAAAUCUUUGAAACUACGGACGUAAUAUAUAUGUUUUAUAUAUCAUAUUUUUGGAAAUUUUCUUUAUUUUUUAACUAUGUAAAAAUCAAUUGAGUAAAUAAAGCCAUAAAAUUAAAAAAAGCAUUUAAAAUGAAAGAUGACUUCGUCUAAAUAUGACGCAACGCUUUGUCGCAAGGCCAUUUCCCCCCUCGCUAUGAUUUUUUUUAUUUUCCCUAUGAAUGCAAUGUUUUUUAUAUUUUUGAAAAGCAUAUAUUCCCUGCUUUCAGUACAUAUAAAAAUUAUUUUUAAUGCCUGGCAAAGUUAUAAGAAAAUAGCAAUUUUUUGCACAUGUACGUUUCUUUACGAUUUUAUUUCUCAAUAUUUAAACAGAUCGGCGUUUUAUCUAUAUUUAUAUAUGGAAAUAGGGGAAAGUAAAUACAGCCUGUAACACUAGAGGAAAUCUUCUUUUUGAUGGACCCUUAUUCAUAUUAUAAUUCUCGGUAGUUUUUAUAUUACGAUAAAAUGAAAUUGGGACAUGCUGCGCGGUUUUCUUAAAAAUUAGCGACAAAUCGACGUUGCUAACAGCAAUCGACGCGCGUCGCACAAUAAAGUGGUGAAAACUAUUUGUAUUGUCCUCUAUUAGUAAAUUCAGCACCUUUUGAUGCACUAAAACAACAUACAUACAGGUAUGAAAUAAUCAGCCAGGUAUCUCUGCUUUUUUAAAAAAGCAUAAAACCAAUAUUGGUAUAUAAACAGUUACACAACCUACAUGUAACUUCAUAAAACACCUAUUGAGAAUGUUACAUCGGCAGAAUGAAUUUAAAAAAAGAUAAAUAAAGUACUUCAAAUUCAGAUAUAAACGUUAUAUUUGUUCGGAAUAGUAAUAAUUUUUUCUCUGUCAAAGAAAGAAAACAAAAAAGAAGUUCGCCUAUAUAUAGCCCGUAUACUUUUAUUUUUCCGUGAUCCGGAUCGCGGGCCUCGCGGGGUUUUCUGAAAGUGUGCACGGAGAACACACGUGUUUCCGUUUCAACGAAAACAACACAGCUUCACCGUGAUUGUCACAGCGAACGCUUGUAUUUUACAUCUUUAAAACGACCUGAUAGAAGAAGAAGAUGCCCUGGAUCUCCUGUUGCAGGAUGACCCAAACGAUCAUGCAUUCAGUAUAAAUACGUACAUGGUAUUGAUAUCCCAAUAUUUAGUGGGAAGUUCCCAGGUAUCAUCCGCUAGCGACAUUCUACUGGCAAAUCCAGACAUGCAUUGGAAGGAUGCUGAUGUGGAGGACACAGGGACACCUGAUCCAAGAACUGUGGCAUUUCAUUCGGGUUGACAACCUGGCUUUCAGUUGAUAUGGGACCCUAUUACGGUAUUCGGAGAACUGCAGAUUUUAUGAAGCUGUCUUUGACAGAAGAUUUGGUUUUCUCCAUUUGUUUUGCCACCAACCAUUAUGCUGAGAUGGUCAUAUCUAGGGGGGAGGGUUGCCAUAUACUUCCCAAGGAAGUUUGCAGCCUUUCACUGAAGAUGAACUGUACAGAUUUUUGUGCAUUAUCUUAUAUAUGCCUGCUGUGAAGUUCCAGUCGAUAGACAGAUAUUGGUCAACGCAUGCCCCUGUCGGAACAACUGAUUAUCAAGAAUUAUGUCUAGAAAUAGGUUUCAAGAGGUUGAAUAUAAGAACAUUUUUGUUAAAUAUGAUGCAAGUACAUUUAAAUCUAGUGAUUGAAAGUAAGUACUUGAACAUUCGUAUAUGUUGAACUUGGAGAAGAAAAAUGGUUAGUACUUUUUUAUAACAUUUGAUAAGGUGUUGUUGCUGAGCAACCAAAUAUAAUUAAAUAAAAAAAUAAAUUAUUUUAGAUUAACAGUAAUUGAAAGAUCUUUGUUUUAAUGUUGCAAUACUUAUUCUAUUUAAUGGAACAUAAUGGCAAAACGUCAUAUUAUUAGAAAAUGAUGGACAAGUAUAUAAAGUACGAAGUUUCCAUUUGAUGUCCUUUGACCUUAAUUCUCUUCAUCAUAUUUUUUGUUAAAAACCUUUUAAAAUUAUUAAGAUCUAUUUAAAGAUUAUAUUUUUAAAAUAAUGUGACAUUUACUAAUCAUCAUGGAAUGUAAUUACGUUUAAAUUGUGUCGAAUGGAUGCAGAAAGGCAAAUUAUGGUCAAAAUUGUACUAUGAGUGUUGUUACUUAGCAACCAAAAUUAUUUGUUUGUCAAUAAAAUUGAUUAGUUUGA